UAUGAUUUUGAAAGCUUAUUUAAUGAUAUUUCUAAUGUCAUAAAAUAUUUUUCUAAUAAAGAAUAAAAUUUUAUUUUGCUAUGCGGACCUAUUACGUCAUACCACGUGACAUAAGCCAUAGAUAUCAGGUGACACCUAUCACUUUUCAAAUCCUUUUUAUACAAGGAUCUUAUAUCAACAAAAAAAGUUUGCUUGUAACAUGUAUGUGCACACGAAUAGUUUUUUGAAACAUAGUGACCUGCACUAUUCUACGAGUUUUCCUUCACAACAGCAUAUAUAUCAGAAUUUAUACCAUGGAAGUAUAAAACAGAUGGAAGUUCAUCGAGCCGCAAACAUCAAAGCAAUUUCAAGAUGUCUCGGGAGUAUGCUUUAAACCGACAAUUAAAAAAAAACAAGUUUCACUGGA